rnacentral:rRNA from 1 species
CAGGACGAACGCUGGCGGCGUGCCUAAUACAUGCAAGUCGAGCGGACAGAUGGGAGCUUGCUCCCUGAUGUUAGCGGCGGACGGGUGAGUAACACGUGGGUAACCUGCCUGUAAGACUGGGAUAACUCCGGGAAACCGGGGCUAAUACCGGAUGGUUGUUUGAACCGCAUGGUUCAAACAUAAAAGGUGGCUUCGGCUACCACUUACAGAUGGACCCGCGGCGCAUUAGCUAGUUGGUGAGGUAACGGCUCACCAAGGCGACGAUGCGUAGCCGACCUGAGAGGGUGAUCGGCCACACUGGGACUGAGACACGGCCCAGACUCCUACGGGAGGCAGCAGUAGGGAAUCUUCCGCAAUGGACGAAAGUCUGACGGAGCAACGCCGCGUGAGUGAUGAAGGUUUUCGGAUCGUAAAGCUCUGUUGUUAGGGAAGAACAAGUACCGUUCGAAUAGGGCGGUACCUUGACGGUACCUAACCAGAAAGCCACGGCUAACUACGUGCCAGCAGCCGCGGUAAUACGUAGGUGGCAAGCGUUGUCCGGAAUUAUUGGGCGUAAAGGGCUCGCAGGCGGUUUCUUAAGUCUGAUGUGAAAGCCCCCGGCUCAACCGGGGAGGGUCAUUGGAAACUGGGGAACUUGAGUGCAGAAGAGGAGAGUGGAAUUCCACGUGUAGCGGUGAAAUGCGUAGAGAUGUGGAGGAACACCAGUGGCGAAGGCGACUCUCUGGUCUGUAACUGACGCUGAGGAGCGGAAGCGUGGGGAGCGAACAGGAUUAGAUACCCUGGUAGUCCACGCCGUAAACGAUGAGUGCUAAGUGUUAGGGGGUUUCCGCCCCUUAGUGCUGCAGCUAACGCAUUAAGCACUCCGCCUGGGGAGUACGGUCGCAAGACUGAAACUCAAAGGAAUUGACGGGGGCCCGCACAAGCGGUGGAGCAUGUGGUUUAAUUCGAAGCAACGCGAAGAACCUUACCAGGUCUUGACAUCCUCUGACAAUCCUAGAGAUAGGACGUCCCCUUCGGGGGCAGAGUGACAGGUGGUGCAUGGUUGUCGUCAGCUCGUGUCGUGAGAUGUUGGGUUAAGUCCCGCAACGAGCGCAACCCUUGAUCUUAGUUGCCAGCAUUCAGUUGGGCACUCUAAGGUGACUGCCGGUGACAAACCGGAGGAAGGUGGGGAUGACGUCAAAUCAUCAUGCCCCUUAUGACCUGGGCUACACACGUGCUACAAUGGACAGAACAAAGGGCAGCGAAACCGCGAGGUUAAGCCAAUCCCACAAAUCUGUUCUCAGUUCGGAUCGCAGUCUGCAACUCGACUGCGUGAAGCUGGAAUCGCUAGUAAUCGCGGAUCAGCAUGCCGCGGUGAAUACGUUCAAAG